UACGAAGGGGGCUAGCGUUGUUCGGAUUCAUUGGGCGUAAAGGGUGCGUAGGUGGCGCGGUAAGUCGGGUGUGAAAUCUCGGAGCUUAACUCCGAAAUUGCAUUCGAUACUGCCGUGCUUGAGGACUGGAGAGGAGACUGGAAUUCAUGGUGUAGCAGUGAAAUGCGUAGAGAUCAUGAGGAAGACCAGUGGCGAAGGCGGGUCUCUGGACAGUUCCUGACACUGAGGCACGAAGGCCAGGGGAGCAAACGGG
rnacentral:rRNA from 1 species